rnacentral:rRNA from 1 species
GGAUCCAGACUUUGAUCCUGGCUCAGGACGAACGCUGGCGGCGCGCCUAACACAUGCAAGUCGAGCGGGAAGCUUUUUAAGGAUUCUUCGGAUGAAUUAAAAAGUGGAGAGCGGCGGACGGGUGAGUAACGCGUGAGAAACCUGCCCUAUACAGGGGGAUAGCCAUUGGAAACGAUGAUUAAUACCCCAUAUGACCACGGUAUCGCAUGAUACAGCGGUGAAAACUCCGGUGGUAUAGGAUGGUCUCGCGUCUGAUUAGCUAGUUGGUGGGGUGACGGCCUACCAAGGCGACGAUCAGUAGCCGGCCUGAGAGGGUGACCGGCCACACUGGAACUGAGACACGGUCCAGACUCCUACGGGAGGCAGCAGUGGGGAAUAUUGCACAAUGGGCGAAAGCCUGAUGCAGCGACGCCGCGUGAACGAUGAAGGCUUUCGAGUCGUAAAGUUCUGUUCUUGGGGAAGAUAACGACGGUACCCAAGGGGAAAGCACCGGCUAAAUACGUGCCAGCAGCCGCGGUAAU